GCCUGCACGUGGACCUUGCGAAAAUGGGAGUGAUCAAAACAGCUCUUUUUGUUUGAAGGAGCAUUGAACUUUGACGUGAGGAAUGUGAGAAGAGGGGUUGUGAAGACGAGUGUUGCGCUUGUUCUGAGUGACUAAUGAGCAAGAGGACCGGUCGGGGGGAUGGGUAUAACUAGGGGAGAGGUGAAAUUCAGUGAUCCUGGUUAGACGAACGAGAGCGAAGGCACUUCCCAAGCACGGAUCCAUUGAUCAAGAACGAAAGUUAGAGGAGAGAAGAUGAUCAGAUACCGUCGUAUUUCUAACAGUAAACGAUGCCGGUUAAGGGG
rnacentral:rRNA from 2 species